rnacentral:rRNA from 1 species
UAAGCGCCAAUGAUGUUAUGCUUCCAAGAAAAGCUCGUACACCUCUAGAAGCAAUUCUAGAAAAACACAAAAAUAACCUGUACCUGAAACCGACACAGGUAGGUUGGUAGAGAAUACCGAGGGGCGCGAGAGAACUCUCUCUAAGGAACUCGGCAAACUAGCCCCGUAACUUCGGAAGAAGGGGCGCCCUCUUUAACGGGAGGGUCGCAGUGACGAGGUUCUGGCAACUGUUUAUCAAAGACACAGGUCUCCGCAAAGUCGUAAGACAAUAUAUGGUGCUGACGCCUGCCCAGUGCCGGAAGGUCAAGGAAGUUGGUUAUAAAUCUUCGGAUUUAGAAGCUGACGACCGAAGCCCCGGUGAACGGCGGCCGUAACAAUGACGGUCCUAAGGUAGCGAAAUUCAUUGUCGAGUAAGUUUCGACCUGCACGAAAGGCGUAAUGAUCAGAACGCUGUCUCGGAGAGGGACUCGGUGAAAUAGACUUGUCCGUGAAGAUGCGGACUACUAAUACUUGGACAGAAAGACCCUAUGAAGCUUGACUGUAUCCUGGAAUUGGGUUCGGGCUUUUCUUGCGCAGUCUAGGUGGGAGGCUAUGAAGAUUUCCUUCCGGGGAAGUUGGAGCCAUCAGUGAGAGACCACUCUGGAGAGGCUAGAAUCCUAAUGGUGAUCCUUGAAUCAGGACACUUGACAGUUUCAGGUGGGCAGUUUUUCUGGGGCGGAAGCCUCAUAAAGGGUAACUGAGGCGCGCAAAGGUCCCCUCAGUCUGGACGGAAAUCAGACAACGAGUGUAAAGGCAAAAGGGGGCUUGACUGCAAGACCUACAAGUCGAGCAGGAGCGAAAGCUGGCCUUAGUGAUCCGACGGUACCGCGUGGAAGGGCCGUCGCUCAACGAAUAAAAGUUACUCUAGGAUAACAGGCUGAUCUUCUCCAAGAGUUCACAUCGACGAGAAGGUUUGGCACCUGAUGUCGGCUCAUCACAUCCUGGGGCUGUAGUAGGUCCCAAGGGUUGGGCUGUUCGCCCAUUAAAGUGGUACGUGAGCUGGGUUCAGAACGUCGUAAGACAGUUCGGUCCAUAUCCGGUAUUAGCGUUAGAAUAUUGAGGUCAGUCACUCAUAGUACGAGAGGACCUGUAGUGAACAUGCCAAUAGUGUGCCUGUUAUCUUUCCAAAGGUAAACGCAGGGUAGCCACGCAUGGAGUGAAUAAGUACUGAAUGCAUCUAAGUACGAAGUCCAGACCAAGAUGAGUAUUCUCCAUCAAGCCGCAGCAAGACAAGCUGUUUUAUAGGUAUCAAGUGUAAGGCCAGUAAUGGUUUCAGCUGAGAUAUACUAAAGGCUAAUUGAUUUU